rnacentral:tRNA from 1 species
UGGCUCAGAGGGUAAAGCGUCUGCCUGCAAUGCAGGAGGCCUGGGUUCGAUCCCUG